rnacentral:tRNA from 1 species
CGGUUAGCUCAGUUGGUUAGAGCACCUGCUUUACACGCAGGGGGUCAGAGGUUCGAGUCCUCUAUCG